rnacentral:rRNA from 1 species
UACGAAGGGGGCUAGCGUUGCUCGGAAUCACUGGGCGUAAAGAGAACGUAGGGGGCUUGUUAAGUCAGGGGUGAAAUCCUGGAGCUCAACUCCAGAACUGCCUUUGAUACUGGCGAGCUUGAGUUCGGGAGAGGUGAGUGGAACUGCGAGUGUAGAGGUGAAAUUCGUAGAUAUUGGGAAGAACACCGGUGGCGAAGGCGGCGACCUGGUCCGUGACUGACGCUGAGGCGCGAAAGCGUGGGGAGCAAACAGG